GGGCCGUUUGCUCAGUGGUAGAGCAUCUGUCUUACAAGCAGAAGGUCCCAGAUUCAAUUCCUGGGCAUAUCCU